UGUUGCUAUGACGUCUGCCUCAGACGCUGUAGCGUCAAACAACUCGAGAGCUAUUCCCGCAAACAAAAUGAGUUUGCACUCCAUCAUGUAGUUGCUGAGUUCCGUAAUCUAAAAUGUUUUUCAUGUUUAUACUACAAAUAAUUCGAGAAGGGUAGAGUAUUGUGGCUUGGUAUACAUCUAACGGCUCAUGAACUGAACUGUUUGGACAUAUCGACUGACUGGAUUAGGGGGUCAAAACAGAUCAAGAUGAAGAGCGUCUUCACCCUUGUGGACAAUGCCUGGACAGGCUCUCAGUUAAUGUACAAGUGGCAGAAAUCCCUGGGGAAUUAUAUAGCUGUUGCAGGACAAGACAGCUCAGUAAAAAUAUUUGAUCGCCAUGGGCACAAGUGGACUGAAAUCAGCCUUCCUGGACGUUGUGUGGGGAUGGACUGGGAUAAGGAUGGGGACAUUUUGGCAGUGAUAGCAGCCAAAUCCAGCUCAAUCUACCUUUGGGAUGCCAGCGUGAAUAAAACAUCUAAGAUCGACAGUGGCAUGAGAGAUCAUAUGUCCCUCAUUGUAUGGUCAAAAACGGGCCCCAUCCUGGCAGCUGGGACAGUUAAAGGAAAUUUGUUAAUCUACAAUCAGCAGACCUCACACAAGAUCCCAAUACUAGGCAAGCACACCAAGAAGAUCACCUGUGGCUGUUGGAACGCUCAGAAUCUGCUGAUUCUUGGAUGUGAAGACAACAAUCUGAGCAUCAGCAAUCAAGAGGGGGACACUAUCAGAGAGGUAAAACUGCGUGGGGCACCUGCUGAUAUUUACAUCUCAAUGAGGAAGACAAGCGAAAGGAUAUCCCAAGGAGAGAACACUGUGAGUGUCUGUGUGGAAAAGAAGAUUCUAGUCAUUUUUAACAUCUACAACAAAGACGACUGGUAUGAUCUGGCGUUUAACGCGAGUUAUGGACGCAUCGUCUCCUAUCGCUGGUUUGGUGAUGGGUACAUACUCAUUGGCUUCUCCCAUGGAUACUUCGUUGUCAUAUCCACUCAUGCCAGAGAGAUUGGAAAUGAGCUCUGGCAGGCUCGCAACCAUAAAGACAGCCUGAACAGUGUAGCCAUCUCAUCAGCAUUAAACAAGGCAGCUUCCUGUGGGGACAACAGCAUAAAGAUCCAUGACCUCUCUGACCUUAAAUACAUAAGCAAUGUCAUUCAGCUGGAGGAUGAGACAAAAGGUCUGGACCAGCUGAGCUGGACAGAUGAUGGCCAGCUGCUAGCAGUUUCCACACAAAAAGGGACUCUUCAUGUCUUCCUCACAAAGCUUCCUAUACUGGGGGACAGCUACGGAACCAGACUGGCCUACCUUACAUCUUUGCUGGAGGUCACAGUGUCAAACUAUGGGACAUCUCCUGUGGCCAUACAAGUAGAAGUAGAACCGACUUUUAUUGCUGUGGGACCCUACCACGUGGCCGUUGGAAUGAACAACAAAGCAUGGUUCUACGCUCCUCUUGAACAAGAAUCCGAUUUUACCAAAUUGAAGGAGAUUGAGUACUUUGGGACAGUUGCCAACAUGUGCCUUAAUGCAAAAUAUGCCGCAGCGCUGUUUGAUGGCAAAGUGCAGCUUCACAUGAUCGAUGGCAGUGAGCAGGAGGAGAGAAAGCAGAUGAAGUUGUUUCCAGACGAUGACAGAAAAGGCCGUAUCCUUUGCCAUGCCCUCACCGCGGACUUCCUCUACUAUGGCACUGAUUUAGGUAACGUGGUGUGUGUCUUGGUGGAGGAUUGGGAGACUGUGAGCACUUACAGUCACACAGUGGCCAUGAGGAAAGUUUUCCCGGAUGUAAAUGGUACACGGUUGGUCUUAAUUGACGACAAGAAGGGCGGUUUCCUGCUCACCCUUUCAAGUACAGCAGACUCCUGCCUUGAGCUUCCAAAUUUCUCCCCCACCAUCACUGGAGUGCUGUGGGAUAACUGGCACGCUGACAGAGGAGUGUUUGUAGCUUAUGACGACGACAAGGCCUAUACUUAUGCGGUACAUAAAGCAACCAUUUACGGCCCGCGUGUGGUGUUAGUGGGGAACACUGCACUACUCUCUUCCCAGAAGCCUUUGCUGUUGUACAAUGGGGCCCUGACGUGCCAGACAGCCAGUGGCAAGAUUAGUGAAGUGGCUCUGAGCACACACUCCUUUCUCGAGCUCUCAACCAGCACGUCGUCUGGGUCACAGCCAGAAUUCAGCAAACAGCUCACGCAGGCCCUCCUGCUCAAGAGGUUCCAUGAAGCCUGGGAUCUGUGUUUGACGGAGGGCAGGGAAGCCGACAAAGGGGAGGUCGGCAAAACCUGUCUGGUCCACAUGGAGGUUGAGCUGGCCAUCCACUUCUACCGCAUGAUUGGCAAUGUGGGCAUGGUGCUGUCACUGCAGGCCGUCCAGGGCAUCGAGGAUAAUAACUUACUUGCAGGUCAUUUGGCCAUGUUUCUGGAGGACUUCUGUCUUGCACAGGAUCUUUAUCUGGCCUCAAGUUGCCCAAUUGCUGCUUUGGAGAUGAGGAGAGACCUGCUGCACUGGGACAGUGCUCUGAAGUUAGCCAAGGGGUUAGCGGAAGACCAGAUUCCCUUUCUCUCCAAAGAAUAUGCUGUUCAUCUGGAGUUUAUUGGAGACUACAUGAAUGCUCUUUCUCACUACGAGAAAGGCAUGACCCAUAAUAAUAAAUUCCAGGAGCAUGAUGAGGUGUGCCAGGCUGGUGUUGCCAGGAUGUCCAUUCGGAUGGGGGACAUAAGGAGAGGAGUGGCCCAUGCUAGCCAACACCCAAGUAGAGUCCUGAAGAAAGAAUGUGCAGCCAUACUGGAAAGCAUGAAGCAAUUCUCUGAAGCUGCUCAGCUCUAUGAAAAAGGACAGUGUUAUGACAAGGCGGCAUCGGUUUAUAUUCGCUGCAAAAACUGGGCAAAGGUGGGAGAGUUGCUCCCAUAUGUCACCUCUUCUAAGAUCCACCUGCAGUACGCCAAAGCCAAGGAGGCAGAUGGCAAGUAUAAGGAGGCAGCACAAGCCUAUGGGAGUGCUAAGGACUGGGACAACGUGACUCGGGUGCUACUGGAUCACCUGAAGAACCCAGAAGGUGCUGUACGCAUUGUUAGAGAGACGCAGAGUGUUGAAGGGGCAAAGAUGGUGGCCAGGUUCUUCCUGUCACUGAAUGACUAUGGUUCGGCCAUCCACUUCCUGGUGCUGUCUCAGUGCAAUGAUGAAGCCUUCCAGCUAGCACAGCAGCACAGGCAGAUGGAGGUCUAUGCAGACAUCAUCGGCUCGGAUGCAACACUACAGGACUAUCAGAGCAUCGCUCUCUACUUUGAGGCAGAAAAGAACCACCUGCAGGCUGGAAAAUUCUUCCAGAAGUGUGGGCAAUACAGCAGAGCCCUGAAGCAUUUCCUAAAGUGUCCCAAUACGGAGGACAGCCCUGCUUUGGACAUGGCCAUUGAGACGGUGGGCCAAGCGAAGGACACCACCCUGACCAAUCUACUGAUAGAAUACCUGAUGGGGGAGAGUGAUGGCAUCCCAAAGGAUGCCAAGUACCUGUUCCGUCUCUACAUGGCACUGCAGCAAUAUAGAGAGGCUGCUCGCACCGCCAUCAUCAUUGCCAGAGAAGAGCAGAAUGCUGGUAACUACCGUAGCUCCCACAAUGUGCUGUUCAGCAUGUACACACAGCUGCAGGCCCAUAACAUAAAGAUUCCUGCGGAAAUGGCCACUAAUUUGAUGAUCCUGCACUCCUACCUGCUUGGAAAGAUUCACAUCAAACGAAGAGACCACCUUAAAGGGGCGCGCAUGCUCAUUCGCGUCAGCAAGAACAUCAGCAAGUUUCCUGCACAUGUUGUACCCAUUCUGACAUCAGCGGUCAUUGAAUGUCACCGAGCUGGGUUAAAGAACUCAGCUUUUGGCUUUGCUGCCAUGCUGAUGCGACCCGAGUACCGAAACGAAAUCCACCAGAAUUACAGGAAAAAGAUUGAGGCGAUGGUUCGGCGUCCCGAUACGACAGAGUUGGAAGAGGAAACUACACCGUGCCCUUACUGUGGCUUCCAGCUACCACAGAAUGAACUGCUGUGUAUCUCCUGCAAGAACAACCUGCCUUAUUGCAUUGCCACAGGUCGUCACAUGCUGAAAGAAGACUGGUCCGUGUGUCCUCAUUGUGAAUUUCCCGCACUCUACUCACAGUUCAUCUUAUUGCUGGAGACUGAGACAGCGUGUCCCAUGUGCUCGGAGACUCUGAGUGCCCAGCAGUUAAAGAAGAUUACAGAUUGUUCCAAAUACCUGCAGACUGAUGAACUGGAUCAGUAAAGGCGGUGUCCAUGGCAACGUGGGUGGGGCUAACAAUGACUGCUCGUCUCUGCUCCUCCUCUGCACUCGCUCGUCUCUCCUGAGUGCGCUCAAUGUGAUGGAUGGCCUGAGAGGAGCAAACAGACAAUACGGCGCAUCAUGGCAAAUAUUCAUUCAAAAUCUUGCAACAUAGACUCGCCGGACAGAGGAUUAGUUGCUGGACUACAGACCAACUUUCCAGGUAUGCAUGCGUGAGACAGACCAACCUUUGGACUGUGAGGUUGUCGGUCUGCAGCUUGGAUCUGCUGCAGCCUUAACAGCGUCUGGCUCUGGAGGUGUGCCUGCUCUUCCUCCACCUGCUGGGUGAUCACCUUGAGACGCUCCGGGUGCAGCUGGGUGUCCAAUGAGCGCACCUGCAUCCAAAUCCAUAUGCAUGCGAGCAGAACGUUCUCGGUCCAGCUGCUGGCGCAACUCCAGCAUUUCUCUCCUCAGCUCCUCCACCUUCUCUUCAUCCAGGGUGUCAGGAGACCCGAUGCCUUCAUCUUUCUCUUCUGCUCGCCUCCUCUUUGGAGGGUUUUGAGGGACUGGAAGCCAGCGUUGAUGCUCUGCAUGCGUCGCCGCUCAUUGCUGUUCGCGAUUUCGCGACGGAUUCGUCUCUCCUGGUCCUGUGCCGUCUCUGGACUGAAGGGGAUGUUGGCCAGGCUGGAGGAGUCACAUGACAGAGAUGCACUCACACCUGCCAGCUGCGAUUCCUGAGCAAGUGCUGCACUGGUGGUGCCCGGAUUCUGCAACUGAAUCAACUUUCUGAGACAGUCCUGACGCUUCCUGGACUUUCUGGGGCGCCCUGAAGCCUUCUUCACAACAAUUGAACCUCUCUCAUUGAAGUACUUGAUGAUGCGAUAAAUGGUAACCAUGGUUAACAGAGGAAAAACAAAGAUACCAAGCACCACCCUCCUUUUACUCUAACUCAAUUAGCAUCACAGAGUCAUCUUCAGCUUUUGUCCUUGUGAACACUCUCACCUAUGUUAACAAGCAAACCACUGACAUGAGGUCAACUGGUCCUUUUGUGUAAAUUGUGUUUUUGGGAUUAAGAUCAUUUCCAUGACAAAGGGGGAUUUUGCCAUUCAUCUUAUCGCUCUUCGCAACAGUACAGUAUAUGCAAAUUGCCAUAAUAAAAACUGAGGUAGCUGAUGUGAAAAUUAAUAUUUGUGUCAUUCUCAAAACUUUUGGCCAUAACUGUACUUAAAUCAAGUAAAAAUAUAAAUAAAAUAUAGAAUGUAAAAAAUAAAGUAUGCAGAGAUUUUAAGGUAUUUCUGUGAGGUAUUGCACAUAGUCCAUUUGAUCAGAGUUGAGGUAUUAGUCAGGGAAAACAAAAUAUUGUAUAAUAUUUGAAUGCAUAUGUCCAACGCUCUCACACGCCUGUUGUGAAUUUUGCCAGUCAGCUCUUAGAGAACAAGUGCAAAAAUAAAAGAAGGUCAAAUUAAGUUCUGAAAUUUUGCCUAAAAGAUGAAUAUCCCUAACUUUUUAUAAGUCGUAUAUUUUUAAAAAUCCUCAGAGGAAAUCAUGAGAACUUAAAUAACCUGUUCGAAAUUUUA